rnacentral:pre_miRNA from 1 species
UGUCUCUCAAAGUGGCUGUGAAAUGGUACCGUUUCGUAGCCCAUAUCACAGCCAGCUUUGAUGAGCUUGG